rnacentral:rRNA from 1 species
AAAGGAAUAGACGGGGGCCCGCACAAGCAGCGGAGCAUGUGGUUUAAUUCGAAGCAACGCGAAGAACCUUACCAAGGCUUGACAUCCCACUAAAGGCAUGGAAACAUGCUGUGACUUCGGUCGAGUGGAGACAGGUGGUGCAUGGUUGUCGUCAGCUCGUGUCGUGAGAUGUUGGGUUAAGUCCCGCAACGAGCGCAACCCCUACUCUUAGUUACCAGCGGGUAAUGCCGGGGACUCUGGGAGGACUGCCGGGGACAACUCGGAGGAAGGUGGGGACGACGUCAAAUCAUCAUGCCCCUUAUGUCUUGGGCUACACACGUGCUACAAUGGCCGUAACAGAGGGAUGCAACAGAGUAAUCUGAAGCGGAACCCUAAAAGACGGUCCCAGUUCGGAUUGUGGGCUGCAACCCGCCCACAUGAAGUUGGAGUUGCUAGUAAUCGCGAAUCAGCAUGUCGCGGUGAAUGCGUUCCCGGGCCUUGUACACACCGCCCGU